UAGGGAAUCUUCGGCAAUGGGGGCAACCCUGACCGAGCAACGCCGCGUGAGUGAAGAAGGUUUUCGGAUCGUAAAGCUCUGUUGUAAGUCAAGAACGAGUGUGAGAGUGGAAAGUUCACACUGUGACGGUAGCUUACCAGAAAGGGACGGCUAACUACGUACCAGCAGCCGCGGUAAUACGUAGGUCCCGAGCGUUGUCCGGAUUUAUUGGGCGUAAAGCGAGCGCAGGCGGUUUGAUAAGUCUGAAGUUAAAGGCUGUGGCUCAACCAUAGUUCGCUUUGGAAACUGUCAAACUUGAGUGCAGAAGGGGAGAGUGGAAUUCCAUGUGUAGCGGUGAAAUGCGUAGAUAUAUGGAGGAACACCGGUGGCGAAAGCGGCUCUCUGGUCUGUAACUGACGCUGAGGCUCGAAAGCGUGGGGAGCGAACAGGAUUAGAUACCCUGGUAGUCCACGCCGUAAACGAUGAGUGCUAGGUGUUGGAUCCUUUCCGGGAUUCAGUGCCGCAGCUAACGCAUUAAGCACUCCGCCUGGGGAGUACGACCGCAAGGUUG
rnacentral:rRNA from 1 species